GCCACCAGACAACAAGAGCAGCGAUUUACGGCCCACGACACCUGUACUGCAGCCUCUUGAUUUACCUAUUUAUUUUUUUAUUCAUGCCUGCCCCCUCAAGCCCCACCUCCAAAAAAAAAGGGAACACAAACAAGCUUCCCUGCCCCAUGACAAAAAGCACCGCUGGCUUUCUGAACAGCUCACCAGAGACCGAUUCUUCGGAACAUUUUCCCCCUGCUGUACAUUACUUAUGUUAAGCGGGGCAUCUCUGACUGAUCGCCAGCAUCAUAGGGGAAAGGCUGAGUCCUCUGUUAUUCCUGUCAGCGGCCAGCUGAAUCCACUUCACGACACGACUUCAGCCACCGGGCUGCCAUUUCCAAAACGAGAACCCCAGCAACUAAAGAUAAUAUAUCAGGAGAUUUGUCAUCCAUUGUGCAACAGAUACAUGCCUAAACGAGGUUAAACAGUGUAUUUUACAGUUUACUGGGGGGCCAGGAGGUAUUACUGCAGCAGUGGUGGAGGACACCUCUCUGUUUCCACCACAUAGAGAGAAAAACACUGGCUUGGCAGACACGUAAAGAGAGUAAUCCUGUCAUCUGGCCACAGCAAACCUGAAAUGACAGAUGAGAUUUUUGGAGGCUUAUCCUUUUUCCCCUCCCUUAUUUACGCCUUUCUCUAAAAAUCUUUUAACCUUGUGAGGUUGGGGAGGUCGGGCAGCCCAAACAGAGAACGCCAAGACCCUCAGUCGCUUCUUCGUCUGUACCUGUCUUUUUUUCACCACACAGACGAACGUGUGGUGUUUUAAAGGAAAUCGACAGCGACGUGGCACACCGGCUCAGUAUGGGAAUUAAUGACAUUCAGCUCCAUAACCACUGGGCAGCACCAGAGCCUCACAUCUCCAGGGCUGUGGGUUCAAUUCCUACCCCAUGUUCUCCCCUUUUGUAUGCAGGUCUCCUCUCACACUCUAAUAAUAAGCGUUUCAGUCAGUUGGUGUCUCUAAAUAGUCCUUGUAUAUGAGUGCCCUGCAAUGGACUGACAUCCUGUCCAGGGAAUACCUGUUACCAGAUGAGCAAUUAAGGAAGAUAGAUUGUCUUGACCAUCCACGGGGCGGCACCUGAUGCUUGGACUGAAUUCCGCAGUUUUCCGGACCUCAGCGUUUUCCUUCCUUCCAGAUGCCGCCAGUUGGAAACGUGGAGACUUCCUUAAAAUGCCGGCGGCUGGAUAUCCAGGCGUAACAGGAACUCUUACCCAAACAGCGUUUUAAAAUGCCUAGAUUAAGGCUUCUAAAACGACGAAGUCCUCACAGAGAACAGACAUUCUGAUCGCUAAAACUUAUCCGUCAUGAGAAGGUAGUGGUCUCACGCUGCCUGUGAGGAAAGCAGC